AAUUGGCAUGAGUGAUGAAUCAAUUAGAUGUGUGAAGUGACCUUAUGAGCUGAAACUUUGAGGCAUAAUUUCCAUCGGAUAUGCCAAUU